rnacentral:lncRNA from 1 species
UUAAAGCCGUCAUGGCACUAUAAAACUCUGUUUUCGUCACCGGUUGAUCUCCCAUCUGAUCACGUUAGGAAAAGAACAGGAGAAACCUGCUCUGAUACCAACUGACGCAGUACGGAAGCGCUAGGUUAGCAAAACGAUAAACCUAAUGGAUAAAGACAAGCCGCAAACACAAACUUGUCAAAAUAGGAUUUCGCAGUCCACCGAAAGUUGAGAUAAA